rnacentral:rRNA from 1 species
AUCCAUGGCUAUACCUCCCUGAACAUGCCUGGUUCUAGAAGCUAUGCAGGGUUGGGCCUGGUGAAUACAGUAUGUGGGUGAGAGACCUCCCAUGAACUAUCAGGUGUUGUAAAGU